rnacentral:misc_RNA from 1 species
CAACGCGCCUUCGCGAAAAGCUUCUCUUCCUUGAUCUCGCCACACGAGCAGUCGCGCGGAUAGCCACCCCUACGCCGCUAGGCGAACCAUAAUAAGGCAAAACACCAUAUACGCAGAGAACAGCGCAGCGGGUGAAAUGAUGGACCCGACUCUGACGGAGCUGCUGCACGCCAACCUGGAGUGGAUCUUUGUUGGCGGCAAGGGCGGUGUGGGCAAAACAACCACCUCUUGCGCGUUGGCUACCUUGUUUGCCACGACGCCAAUCAGCGAUGCCGCGUCGCCAGGAGGCACGCGGCCGCGACGGGUGCUGCUGAUCUCGACAGAUCCUGCACACAACCUCAGUGAUGCCUUCAACCAGCGCUUCGGCCCACAUCCGACACCGGUGAAAGGGCUGGAGGAAUCCUUGGCUGCCAUGGAGGUGGAUCCGAAGAACUUCACCCACGGUGCGUUGAUGAGUUCCCUGACAGGGACGAAGAGGGACGGCAGUGCUUCGUCCCUGCCCGAGGAAGCGGCGGCAGACGCCGCCCAGCACACCACAACCUUUGCUCGUAUCGGUGCAGUUCUCAAGGAGGCGGCGCGCACCAUGCCCGGCAUCGACGAAAUCUCUGUGUUUGCAGAAAUCCUGCACUACGUCCGCACGCUGUCCUACGACCUGCUCAUCUUCGACACCGCGCCGACAGGCCACACGCUGCGCCUGCUGGCAUUGCCACAGACGCUGAACAGUACCUUUGACAAGUUAAUGAGCCUGGAGGGCUUGGCGCCGAUGAUAGAGGCGGCUUCGCACCUUAUCGGCUCCAACCUCGGAGAUCUCGGUGGUGCUUGCGGUGACACCGCGGGCUCCUGCGAGCAAGCAACAGCUGCGCCUUCGCCGUCGAGCGCAGCUCCCGGCGCGGGCUCGGCGGCUGCGGCCUCGCCACAGAGCAGGUGGUGCAUCACCGCAGACGAAGUCCGCUCGACAGCGCUUCACUGGCGUCAGACGAUGGAGGAGGUGCAGGCCCGCUUCAGUGACCCGAACCGCACCAGCUUCGUCUGCGUCUGCAUUGCCGAAUUUUUGAGCGUCUACGAAACAGAGCGGCUUGUGCAGGAGCUCAUGAAGUAUAACAUCGGCUGCGACAGCAUCGUGGUGAACCAGCUCGUGCUGAAGCCGUCGUCAGAGCCGCCGUGUCGCAUGUGCUCGGCUCGACAGAAGAUUCAGGCGAAGUACCUUGAGCAGAUUGAUCUCCUGUACGAGGACUUCCACGUCGUGAAGAUGCCGCUGCUCAGCGACGAGGUGCGCGGCGUCCCGGCACUGAAGAAGUUCGCGCGCUUCUUGCAGGAGCCGUACAGUCCGGAGACACAUGGCUACAUCGACGUGCAGGAGCCUUGCUAAUAAGCCAGAGUGUGUCGAUGCCGAUGCUGGAAAAAGAGCGUCCCAAAUCAGAGUGGGGGUGAGGGCUCCCGCGCUGCACUGAUGACAGGACCGUGUGCUCAUGCGAGCGCUCUCGACAAGGUUAGGGAAGGGACGGAAGUGCGUGGGAGAUGGGCGGGUCGGAUGCGCGCGCCUUCCAGCUUCUCUGAAGCCGUUUUUCUUUUUUCCUUUUGAUGCUGGUCUGCCGGGCCCUUGCUCUGUGCAACGCCGUGCUACAGCGGGAAAGAGAGACACAAAGAUCGAACUUUUCGGCCCCGCUCUUUUCCCUCGAACACCACACAUGUGAGCAAACCCAAUGGCGCAGGCAGCCGGCAUACACACGCACAUUAUGUGCGCGCGCACACAGCGACACUCGCGUUUGCGUGCGCUUCUACGCGUCGUCUUUUUUUUGGGGGGGGAGUAGGGGCAUUUUUUUUAUUGCUUGAAUGGCUGUCGCCACCGCCUCCCCUGCGACGCCUGGCCACGCGGCGCCCUUCAACUAUCUGUGGGUGCUGCAGCAGCGGCUGUUGUUAACGGAUACCAUCGAGCAAGCUGCCCUCUCUCUUGCCUCGUUGCACGACUCGACCACGCCUCAUCACGGUCAUGCAGCGCGGCAAAGGUAUAGAAGCCCGACUCUCGUGGAGAGGACGGCUCUCGUGUGCCUGCUCGUGGUUGUGAGCCCACUGCUCACCACAUGUGCGUCGAGUAGGUGGCCAUGCUAUUCCUCUAUGAUGAUGACUGUCUGCUGCCUCGCCCGUACCCCGUGCUCGCCAGCGA